rnacentral:rRNA from 1 species
CAGUCGCCGCGGUAAUACGUAGGGUGCAAGCGUUAAUCGGAAUUACUGGGCGUAAAGCGUGCGCAGGCGGUUUGUUAAGACAGAUGUGAAAUCCCCGGGCUCAACCUGGGAACUGCAUUUGUGACUGGCAAGCUAGAGUCUGGCAGAGGGGGGUGGAAUUCCGCGUGUAGCAGUGAAAUGCGUAGAUAUGCGGAGGAACACCGAUGGCGAAGGCAGCCCCCUGGGCCAACACUGACGCUCAUGCACGAAAGCGUGGGGAGCAAACAGGAUUAGAUACCCCUGUAGUCCCUGUCUCUUAUAA